rnacentral:lncRNA from 1 species
UCUUAUUCUGUGGUAGUGUCGGAUUUGAUACUGUUCUUUUUUUAAAGAGGAAAAUGAUAGAUAUGAUAUGAAUGUAUUAUAUUCCUAAGUGACUGACUGCAGGAAGGUGGAAUGAGAAGUGACCGUCAGUUAAUUGAGUCUAUUGCAACCUUGAUGCUUGUUAAUAAGGAUCAGUAGAAUCUCUCAGUAUUGUUAUUAUUUCUCCUGCUGCGCAUGCCUCAGAAUGGAUAUACUGGCACCUGUCUGAGCUUUUGGUUGUGGUCAGACGCUCCCUGGAUGACUUCCUGUGUAAGAGCAUGGAGAGCAGUUUAGCAGAUGUGGAGGAGAAUGAAGAAGAAGAGUCUGGAGCUCGGACCAAUGAUGACGACUGAUGGCGCAUGAGUCGUAUAUACGAUGAAUACUAUGUGUCUGAAACUCUGAGGUCCAGCAGAGAGAAUGUGCGAGAAAGACUGUGUAUGUGGAUGCCUGGGUCACUUUGUUGUUCAGCAGAAACUGGCACAACAUGAAUCAACGCCUCAGCUGAUUUCAGCUUCUGCCACGAUCAAGACUGUCCUGCUGCCACCGUUUUGUAAAAGACCAAGGCAAGUAAUGGUCGGGGUUGUCGUCUUUGAUGGGAUGAUUUGUGUAAAGGUCGUCAUUGAAAUUUUUUUAAUUGAAAAUUUUUAUUACGGUUGAUUUACAGUGUUCUGUCAAUUUAUUCCUUGAAUUAUUAAAAAUUACUGAGGUAGUCUAGGGGUUAAGAAUCCAGCAUUGUCACUCCUGUGGCUGGGGUCACUGCUGUGGUGUGGGUUUGAUCCCCAGGCCAUGAACUUCCGCAGGCUUCAGGUGCAGCCAAAUAUAUAUUAUGCAUACUAAAAAAUGUACUCCUGCCUAAUGAUAAAUACGGUAGGAAACAUUAUGUUGAGUCAUCGGUUGAGCAGUGCAUCAUUGAGAUUCGUUUGUGAAAGAGAAUCAGUCCACGUGAAAAAUAAUUCUACAGACAGAUGUUGGGGAUAGUCAAGGAUCUUGGUCUUGGAUUUUGUGAGUUAGGUUUUCAUUUUAUUAUUAUCCAUGAAUUAGUGAUUUUCUUGACAUAAAUGUAGAAAUGAACGAAGAACAAGAGACCCAAGGCUGGACCAGUGAAGACACGUUGGUGGCAGAUAAGUCAUGGGUGGUGAAUGAUAUGUGUCUGGAGGCUCAGGUCCAACCUCAAACAGAACCAGUUGAAUCCCACUGGUGGACAUGAACUCGUUGGCAGAUACGAGGAGAAUACAGAGCUCCUGUUUCACCCUGGGUUCACUGAUUACUUUUAUCAUUGUUGAUGGGUCAGUGAUAGAGCCUUGAAAGAAGUAUAAAUAAAUAAGGGACGUUGCAUUUUCUAGCUGUGAGU